AUGGACUCUUUCUUUCGCACAUAUACUAAAAUUGGAACGAUACAGAGAAGAUUAGCAUGGCCCCUGCACAAGGAUGACACGCAAAUUCGUGAAGCGUGAAAUUCUUUC
rfam:Alligator mississippiensis ScZkoYb_201.1, whole genome shotgun sequence.